rnacentral:rRNA from 1 species
CGGCCUACGGGGGGCAGCAGUGAGGAAUAUUGGUCAACGGUCGGGAGACUGAACCAGCCAAGCCGCGUGAGGGAGGAAGGUACAGAGUAUCGUAAACCUCUUUUGUCAGGGAACAAAGGCGGGGACGUGUCCCCGGAUGAGUGUACCUGAAGAAAAAGCAUCGGCUAACUCCGUGCCAGCAGCCGCGGUAAUACGGAGGAUGCGAGCGUUAUCCGGAUUUAUUGGGGUUAAAGGGAGCGCAGGCGGUCUGUUAAGUCAGCGGUCAAAGCACGGGGCUCAACCCCGGGCCGCCGGUGGACCGGAGG